AGAAGGUGUGUGUGUAAAGAAGGUGUGUGUGUGACGUGGUGUAAAGAAGGUGUGUGUGUAAAGAAGGUGUGUGUGUGAUGUGGUGUAAAGAAAGUGUGUGUAAUGUGGUGUAAAGAAGGUGUGUGUGUGAUGUGGUGUAAAGAAGGCGUGUGUGUAAAGAAGGCGUGUGUGUGAUGUGGGGUAAAGAAGGUGUGUGUGAUGUGGUGUAAAGAAGGUGUGUGUGUGAUGUGUGUGUAAAGAAGGUGUGUGUGUGAUGUGGUGUAAAGAAGGUGUGUGAUGUGGUGUAAAGAAGGUGUGUGUGUAAAGAAGGUGUGUGUGUGAUGUGGUGUAAAGAAGGUGUGUGUGUGAUGUGGUGUAAAGAAGGUGUGUAUUUGUAAAAAAGGUAUGUGUGUGAUGUGGUGUAAAGAAGGCGUGUGUGUAAAGAAGGUGUGUGUGUGAUGUGGUGUAAAGAAGGCGUGUGUGUAAAGAAGGUGUGUGUGUGAUGUGGUGUAAAGAAGGUGUGUGUGUAAAGAAGGUGUGUGUGUGAUGUGGUGUAAAGAAGGUGUGUGUGUGAUGUGGUGUAAAGGUGUGUAUUUGUAAAAAAGGUAUGUGUGUGAUGUGGUGUAAAGAAGGUGUGUGUUUGUAAAAAAGGUGUGUGUGAUGUGGUGUAAAGAAGGUGUGCGUUUGUAAAGAAGGUGUGUGUGAUGUGGUGUAAAGAAGGUGUGUGUGUGUGUAAAGAUGGUGCGUGUGAUGUGGUGUAAAGAAAGUGUGUGUUUGUAAAAAAGGUGUGUGUGAUGUGGUGUAAAGAAGGUGUGUGUGUGUAAAGGUGUGUGAUGUGGUGUAAAGAAGGUGUGUGUGUGUGUGUGUAAAGAAGGUGUGUUUGAUGUGGUGUAAAGAAGGUGUGUGUGUGUAAAGGUGUGUGUGUGAUGUGGUGUAAAGGUGUGUGUUUGUAAAAAAGGUGUGUGUGAUGUGGUGUAAAGAAGGUGGGUGUUUGUAAAAAAAAGUGUGUGUGUAAAGGUGUGUGUGUGAUGUGGUGUAAAG